rnacentral:tRNA from 1 species
GAAUUGCAAAUUCGAAACCGCCAAUUGAUC